rnacentral:rRNA from 1 species
UACGUAGGGUGCAAGCGUUGUCCGGAAUUAUUGGGCGUAAAGAGCUCGUAGGCGGUCUGUCGCGUCUGCUGUGAAAACUCAGGGCUUAACCCUGAGCUUGCAGUGGGUACGGGCAGACUAGAGUGCGGUAGGGGAGACUGGAAUUCCUGGUGUAGCGGUGAAAUGCGUAGAGAUCGGGGAGGAAUACCGGUGGCGAAAGCGACUCUCUGGACGGCAACUGACGCUGAGGCACGAAAGCGUGGG